AACAGGAUUAGAUACCCUGGUAGUCACGCUGUAAACGAUGUCAACUAGCUAUUGGUCAUAUGAAAAUGAUUAGUGGCGCAGCAAACGCGAUAAGUUGACCGCCUGGGGAGUACGGUCGCAAGAUUAAAACUCAAAGGAAUUGACGGGGGCCCGCACAAGCGGCGGAGCAUGCGGAUCAAUUCGAUGCAACGCGAAGAACCUUACCAAGGCUUGAAAGUUAGUGAAUUGAGCAGAGACGCUCAAGUCCUUCGGGACACGAAACUAGGUGCUGCAUGGCUGUCGUCAGCUCAUGCCGUGAGGUGUUGGGUUAAGUCCCGAACGAGCGCAACCCCUAUGUUUAGUUGCCAGCACGUCAAGGUGGGGACUCUAAACAGACUGCCUAUGCAAAUAGAGAGGAAGGGGGGGACGACGUCAAGUCAUCAUGGCCCUUACGUCCGGGGCUACACACGUGCUACAAUGGGCAGUACAGAGGGCAGCUACCUGGCAACAGGAUGCCAAUCUCCAAAAGCUGUUCACAGUUCGGAUCGGGGUCUGCAACUCGACCCCGUGAAGUUGGAUUCGCUAGUAAUCGCGUAUCAGCAAUGACGCGGUGGAUACGUUCCCGGGCCUUGUACACACCGCCCGUCAAGCCAUGGAAGCUGGAAGUGCCUGAAGUGCGUAACCGCAAGGAGCGUCCUAGGGUAAAGUCGGUAACUGGGGCUAAGUCGUAACAAGGUAACC
rnacentral:rRNA from 1 species